rnacentral:snRNA from 1 species
GUGCUUGCCUGGCAGGGGAGAUGCCAUGACCAGGAAGGUGGUUUUCCAGGACAAGGCUCGUCCGUUGUUCUUGUGUGCCCAUCCCUGCGAUUUUUCCACAUUCAAGGGUUUCAGUUGCACUGCCUGUGGUAGUAAGGGCUGCAUUCACACUCUCCU